rnacentral:rRNA from 1 species
UACGGAGGGGGCGAGCGUUAUUCGGAAUUAUUGGGCGUAAAGGGCGCGUAGGCGGCUUGGCAAGUGGAUGGUGAAAUCCCUCGGCUUAACCGAGGAACUGCCAUCCAGACUGCUUUGCUUGAGGCCGGGAGAGGUGAGUGGAAUUCCCAGUGUAGCGGUGAAAUGCGUAGAUAUUGGGAGGAACACCAGUGGCGAAGGCGGCUCACUGGACCGGAACUGACGCUGAGGCGCGAAAGCGUGGGGAGCAAACGGG